GCGCGAGUAGCCCAACGGAUUAGAGCAUCUGACUACGGAUCAGAAGGUUGCAGGUUCGAAUCCUGUCUCGCGCACCA
rnacentral:tRNA from 1 species